AAAGUAGAUGUUUGUCACUUUGCAGGGGAAUCGAACGGCAGCGAUGAAAAUGGCACCAAUUCUCAGGAUGAGUGGCAGGAGGUUGACCUAGAUGGACUACCAUACGGGAAUUGCUGGCGCUGGGUGAAGGCGUUGGUGCUCAGAGCAGAUGACUGUCUGCCGAUAUGAU